ensembl:snoRNA
UAUACCUACAGAAAAUAGCCAAAUUUGAGCAUCAGAAGCCCACCCAGUCUACCUGAUGCAUGAUCUUUGUAGUUCUGAGA